rnacentral:rRNA from 1 species
GCACUUCUUAGAGGGACAAGCGGCGGUACAAAGCCGCACGAGAAAGAGCAAUAACAGGUCUGUGAUGCCCUUAGAUGGACGGGGCUGCACGCGUGCUACACUGACGGCACCAGCGUGCGUUCAAGCCUGGCUUGAAGAGGUCAGGUAAUCGAAUGAAAUGUCCGUCGUGACUGGGACAGGGAAUUGCAAUUAUUUCCCUCGAACGAGGAAUUCCCAGUAAGCGCGAGUCAUCAGCUUGCGUUGACUACGUCCCUGCCCUUUGUACACACCGUGCG